GUGAGCGGAGCAGCUGGGCGCAUCUGAGAUGACGAAGAGGCAGCUGGUGACUGGAGGAGUGACGUGUGCUUGUCCUUCAGAAGGAAGGGAAGAGGGAGACUCUCGGCCCCUUGAAAGCUAAGGGCCGCAAAGGAUGGUGACUGUCCAAGUCCAGCACGGGUAAGGAGCAGGGGUGUCGAAGUCUAAGGUCUGCAGAGAUGAGAGGAGGCGUGUUGUCAGAUGAUCGGUAGUAUGCAUCACAGAGGCAGUGUGGAUUGGAAGAGGAAAAGGUAUAUUAGCAAAGCAGUAAGUGGACUACAUAAUGAGACUGAGCUUUGUGACUAAGGUAACAGGGUCUGAGGCUCAGGUGGUAAGCGCUUGCUAGGAGCCUAAAGCAGUUACAGGUGUAGUAUAAUUAGGGAG